rnacentral:rRNA from 1 species
AGCCUGAUGCAGCAACGCCGCGUGAGGGAUGACGGCCUUCGGGUUGUAAACCUCUUUUAGCAGGGAAGAAGCGAAAGUGACGGUACCUGCAGAAAAAGCGCCGGCUAACUACGUGCCAGCAGCCGCGGUAAUACGUAGGGCGCAAGCGUUAUCCGGAAUUAUUGGGCGUAAAGAGCUCGUAGGCGGUUUGUCGCGUCUGCUGUGAAAUCCCGAGGCUCAACCUCGGGCCUGCAGUGGGUACGGGCAGACUAGAGUGCGGUAGGGGAGAUUGGAAUUCCUGGUGUAGCGGUGGAAUGCGCAGAUAUCAGGAGGAACACCGAUGGCGAAGGCAGAUCUCUGGGCCGUAACUGACGCUGAGGAGCGAAAGGGUGGGGAGCAAACAGGCUUAGAUACCCUGGUAGUCCACCCCGUAAACGUUGGGAACUAGUUGUGGGGUCCAUUCCACGGAUUCCGUGACGCAGCUAACGCAUUAAGUUCCCCGCCUGGGGAGUACGGCCGCAAGGCUAAAACUCAAAGGAAUUGACGGGGACCCGCACAAGCGGCGGAGCAUGCGGAUUAAUUCGAUGCAACGCGAAGAACCUUACCAAGGCUUGACAUAUACGAGAACGGGCCAGAAAUGGUCAACUCUUUGGACACU